UACGAAGGGGGCUAGCGUUGCUCGGAAUCACUGGGCGUAAAGGGCGCGUAGGCGGCCAUUCAAGUCAGAGGUGAAAGCCCAAGGCUCAACCUUGGAACUGCCUUUGAUACUGUUUGGCUUGAGACCGGUAGAGGUAAGUGGAACUGCGAGUGUAGAGGUGAAAUUCGUAGAUAUUCGCAAGAACACCAGUGGCGAAGGCGGCUCACUGGCCCGGUACUGACGCUGAGGUGCGAAAGCGUGGGGAGCGAACAGG
rnacentral:rRNA from 1 species